rnacentral:rRNA from 1 species
UGGGGAAUCUUCCGCAAUGGACGAAAGUCUGACGGAGCAACGCCGCGUGAGUGAAGACGGCCUUCGGGUUGUAAAGCUCUGUGAUCCGGGACGAAAGAGCCUGAGGUGAAUAGCCUAAGGAAGUGACGGUACCGGAAAAGCAAGCCACGGCUAACUACGUGCCAGCAGCCGCGGUAAUACGUAGGUGGCAAGCGUUGUCCGGAAUUAUUGGGCGUAAAGCGCGCACAGGCGGCUUCCUAAGUCCAUCUUAAAAGUGCGGGGCUUAACCCCGUAAUGGUAUGGAAACUGGGAAGCUGGAGCAUCGGAGAGGAAAGUGGAAUUCCUAGUGUAGCGGUGAAAUGCGUAGAGAUUAGGAAGAUCACCGGUGGCGAAGGCGACUUUCUGGACGAAAACUGUCGCUGAGGCGCGCAAGCGUGGGGAGCAAACAGG